AUUGAACGCUGGCGGCAGGCCUAACACAUGCAAGUCGAACGAGCGGCGGACGGGUGAGUAAUGUAUGGGGAUCUGCCUGAUGGCGGGGGAUAACUACUGGAAACGGUAGAUAAUACCGCAUACCAUCAGAUGAACCCAUAUGGGAUUAGCUUGUAGGUGAGGUAACGGCUCACCUAGGCGACGAUCCCUAUCUGGUCUGAGAGGAUGAUCAGCCACACGGGAACUGAAACACGGCCCCGACUCCUACGGGAGGCAGCAGUGGGGAAUAUUGCACAAUGGGCGCAAGCCUGAUGCAGCCAUGCCGCGGGUAUGAAGAAGGCCUUCGGGUUGUAAAGUACUUUCAGUCGGGAGGCGUUACCGACAGAAGAAUCACCGGCUAACUCCGUGCCAGCCGCCGCGGUAAUUG
rnacentral:rRNA from 1 species